rnacentral:lncRNA from 1 species
CCGCCGUUGUUCUUCUUCAAAAAUAAAAGAAAAACCAAAAGAAUCAGACGCUGAAGACACUCAGGAAAAGAGACCCGCCGUUGUAACCCCAAAUGACUCCCAUUUUCUCUUCUUUUUCAAUGAAGAGCUAAACUAAAAAUACCUAAGGGAACGAACAAAAAUAGGAACUUGAAUCUCCAAAAAAUCAACAGUCGUGACUCCUCUAUUCUAAGAUCGGCGACCACUCUCGUCUCUGUCGCUGCUUGCCCAGAUUUGAAAGAUCUUCAGCCGGAGAUGCAACUCCGAUGCCGGAGGUCUUCACUGCCAUGUUUUUGUUCGGUGUUGUUCCUAUGUUAAUGUUGUGGAAAUUGCGUCAAUAGGCUUAAGAUAUUAAAUCUUCUCCGGCGAACAACGCCGCAACUGCCGGUCGAGGCUCUAGGUCUAUUUUCUGUUGAAAACUCUGCCCUUCUUUCUCCGUCGUUUGUUUCCCUUCUUUGUUACUGUUGCGUCGGAAGGUGACAGAUCCGGCGAGAUUCCAGCAAGUUUCGAGGUCUGGUCGUAGCUCCGUUCGUGGUUUUUGAUGAAGCUUUGGUUCUACGGUUCGAGGACAUCAUUUGGUCAGUGUUUCAAGAAUUAUUACAACUGUAAAGGUCUAUUUUUAUUGUUAAAUUUAAAUCUUUAUUUUGCACUAUAUUUGCUUUGAUAUUAUGCCUUAUCUGAAGUAAACUAUAGUAAAUAUAUUCGAGUAUUAUUAGUAGUAUAAUAUAGUACUGUAGUGAUUUGUUUCCUUCAUUUAACUGUGUCUGCUAUGAGUUAUUUGUGUGUGGUUUGAUGAAGCAACGGAUUGUUGUGGUCUCUACUUAUUUUACUUAUUUCAUGACCAUUGUUUAGUAUUAGAUUAUUUGAAUUCUCACGGAUUAAGGACACAGGUUGAUUGCUUAAAAGUUGAUUCUUGAAGAAAUAUUUACCUACUUGCUUUAAUGAAGAUCAUGUUGUGUUUCUUGUCAAGUUACAGUGCUCGCGUAGCAAUUUAAUUUAGGAAAGGGUUUUGUUAGCAUUCAUGAGUUGUUCCCCUCUUGUUUUGUUAUAGUGUUUCUUGUUUAUUAUCGUGAUUAUGUACAGGUUCGCGAGACACGAUUACGGUUUCUAAAAUGAAUAUCUGUGGAAAGCCUUUAAGCACAUUUAAAAUACAAUUGUGGUUGUGUACACGUUCGCGUGACAUAAUCAUGGUUCUAAAAACCAAUUCGGGGUAUGCGUUCGCCCAACUUCGAACAAACUUUCUUAAUAAUGAAAUGGGUGUUAAUAGGCCGUUAAUUUAAUCUUAGUUCAUAUAGUCUGAGGUGUGACAUCCACAAUUUAAUCAUCUAUGUCCCUCGUAUUAAUUUCAUAACCUAGUUAUAAAAAUUAUAAGUAAUCGUAGUUUGCUUUAGGCGCGUUAAUUAGAUAAAUUGUCAUAGCUACGGAUACGGUUCCCGUGACGUGGUUGUGACACUUAAAUUCAAAAAUACGGGGGUGCAUUUCAUGUGAUCCGGUUCUAAUUUCCAACAAGGUUAAGUAGAACGUGUCGUAAACCACAGGUGCAUUUCAUGUAGCGUGGCUAACGAUGUGUUUUAAAUGACCUUGAAAUUUCUUGAAAUAUUAAAAGCGGCUAAAAGGUUAAAAAGGGCACGUAGGUUUUUAAAUGUGUAAUUAAUCAGGUAAUUAGGCCAAUAAUAACAGUUGAGAGACCGUGCUAAAACCACGGAACCCAGGAAUGUCUAACACCUUCUCCUGGGUUAACAGAAUUCCUUACCCGGAUUUCUAUGUUCGCAGACUGUAAACAGAGUCAAUAUUCCUCGAUUCGGGAUUUUAAACUAGUGACUUGGGACACCAUAAAUUAUCCCAAAUGGUGACUCUGAAUUUUAAAUGAAUCUCAUUUCGAUUGUCACUUUAAGUUGGAAAAAACUCCCUUAUACCCUUUCGGGGUGGUAAAAAAGAGGUGUGACAGUAGUCACUUGAUUGAUUGAAGAGUUAAACCAAGUAUGAAGAUUGUGGUAAUAUCGUUAAUUUGAGGAUUUAUGCCUGGAGGGCACUUAGCUUAUUGGGUUGUGGACUGUGGAGGAUUACUCCGGUUAUGAUGGUUGUUCUUGUGUGUUAUGAGAAAAGGGGGGUCAUUAUGGACCUUUGAAAGGUUAGUAGCCUAGUUCAGUGUGAUCGGAAUCAGCUUGGGGUCUGUGGAUGGAUUUAAAUGUGAAUAUGGGCUUUAUAUCAGGCCAGAUGUGUUCAUCUCAGCAAUGCGCUCCUUAUGGAAGAGUAGUCGGAGUAGUAUUUUGUCAUCAACUAUUUCAUGUAAUGAUAUAUUGCAUGGUGUGAGUUGUGAGACGGCUUGGUAAAUUUCUUAUGUGUUGAGGUUCUGCAUAGAGAUGAUGUUAUAUGAGCAGAAUAGCUCUUGAGAUUCAGAUUUAAUAUUGCACCUCAGUUGUCCUUGAGUUGUGGCUUAUAACGCUAUAUGUCUCCCAAGGGAUGGUGUUAUGCACUUAGCGUACCUGUGACCGACAUUCGGUAUAUGGUUGUAAUAAGCAAUCUAGCUCGGUGUGUAUCUCCUUAUGUGAAUUUUAUGUGUGGAUCGAGUGGCAUGCCGCCAUGGGUAUGUUGUUUAGAUCGGGUUGCGUGCCGCAACAGUGUAAUGUUGAGUACAGUUCCCUAUAUCUGUUUUUAUGUGUUUUAUUUCCUAUUUUUCUGAGGAAAGCCCCUAUUAGCUGUGUAAGUUGAGUAGCCCCUUCCAGAGUUCGUCUUCCUUUUGUAUCGCGUUUGAAUUGGUAGCUUCUUAGCACAUUAUGUCACUAUGAGACUUUUGAUCAUGUCCGGGUGGCUUAUUGCCUGAGCAGUUCGUACUGGGUGAGACGAGAUCAUUGGAUUUAGGAUCAGAUGCAAUCUGAUUAUAUGAAGUAUAUUAAGGAGCUAAGACCAUUAUUUGGUUUAGAAUGAGGUGAUGGUUCUUGUCAGGAGUAUAGACCCAAUGAUUUGUUGAUUCGGCGGCUGGUUGUGAAUUUUUACAUAUCUCUUCCAUCAUGGUGGUAUUGUAAGAUCUAGAGCAAGACCUAUGCAUGUUAGGAGGUGCAAUGGGAUGCAUCAGAUUUGUGGAAUUUCGACUAAUUUGAUCGGUGAAUAUUAUUGUGGUCUUGUGAGUAAUGUGGUGUAAGGUGUGAAUUUAGCUAAGGUAUGCAGUCAUGUUUUAGUCCUACGUGUAGUUAUUGAUACGGUGAGCGUAUGUUGGAACAGGCCUGGCACAAAAUUCCGGAUGAUGGAAUUGGGCUCUAAAGCUUAUUUUCUUAAGUGAAAAAGGACAUCUUUAGAUUGAUCAAGCUAAGGUGCCCAGCUGAGUAGUGGUGGCACGGGUAGGUGCGCGAGGUGUUAAGUAGUGUUUUCGGACAACUCUAGUGCAGUUCUCAGCACGUUCGAGGACGAACGUAUGUAAGUGGAAGAGAAUGUAACGACCCGACCGGUCGUUUUGAGUUCUAGCACGUCGUUCAGAAGUUUGAGGCCAUGAUCAUCUUCACUUCAGGUAUUACAACUUGUACGCGUUGUCGGAAUUGAAUUUUGGGAAGUUCAGAGUUGAUUUGAAAAGAGAAUUCUCAUUUCGGAAGUUUUAAGUUGAAAGAAUUGACUAAGGUUGGAUUUUUGAGUAAACGACCUCAGAAUCGGGAUUCGAAGGUUCCAGCAGUUUCGUAUGACGAUUUUGGACUUGGGCAUAUAUCCGGAUUGGGUUUUGGAAGACCCGAGAAUGUUUCGGCGCCUAUUAAGGAAGUUAGCAUUUUGGAAGAAUCUCAUAAGUUUGGGUUGAAGUGAAUUUCGGUGUUAUCAAUGUCCAUAUGGGAUUCCGAGUCUGGGAAUAGAUCCGUAUGGUGAUUCUAGUAUUGGGUGCGCGAUUGAAAGUGAAUUCGGAGGUUCAUAGGUCAUUUUGGAGUCAUUUGGCUAAAGAUAGAAAUUUGAAGGUUUUUGAGAAGUUUGAUCGGAAGUGGACUUUUUGAUAUUGGGGUCGGAUUUUGAUUCUGGAAGUUGGAGUAGCUCUGUAAUGUCAAAUAUGACCUAUGUGCAAAAUUUGAGGUCAAUCGGACGUGAUUUGAUAGGUCUAAACACUAAAAGUAGAAGUUUGAAAUUUUAGAGUUCAUUAAGCUUGAAUUGGAGUGCGAUUCAUGGUUUUAGCGUUGUUUGAUGUGAUUUGAGGCUUCAAGAAAGUCUGUGUUAUGUUUUUAGACUUGUGCGGGUGUUUGGUUUGGAGCCUCGGGGGGCUCGGGUGUGAUUCGGGAUAGCUUCGGAGUGAUUUGCUAAGAAAUAGGAUUACUGGUGCUGGUAUGAUCGCAAUUGCGAUGCAUUGGUGGCAAAUGCGACCUCUCAUUUGCGAGCCUGGGCUUCUGAGGGCAAAGUUCGCAUUUGCGAAAAAAGGAUCGCUUUUGCGAGGCCGUCAACUUCGCAUUUGCGAAGAAUCUUGUCGCAAAUGCGACCAGGGCAGGGUUGGCUAGGCUUCGCAUUUACGAUGCAAUUGUCGCAAAUGCAACAUCGCAUUUGCGAGCCGGAUGUCGCAAAUGCGACUUCUGCGACUGGAACUCAGGGCUUUUUAUUCCGAGACUUAGCCCAUUUCCUUCAUUUCCCACUUGGCCUUAGGCAAUUUUGAGAGCUCUUGAGGAGGGAUUCCAUCAUCAUCAAAGAGGUAAGUAACUUCUACACAUCAUAAGUUAAAUACAUGGAUUAUGGGUAGAUUAACAUGUGAAAAUUAGGGAAAUCAAGGGUUUUAGAUGAAAAACCUAGAAUUUGGUAAAAACAAGAUUUAACCACGAAAUUUGUUAGGGAAUGGAGUAAAAAUCAUAUAUUCUUGAUCCUUAGGUUAUGGGUAACAAUUUUCUUCAAAAAUUUCCGGAAUCCGGGCACGUGGACCCAGGGAUGAAUUUUAGGAACCUUGCAUUUAGGGUUGGGAAAUUGGUUUAAUAAUUAGAAUAUGAACUUUUGAGCAUGUAUUGACUAGAUCUUACCCUAUUUGAAUAGUUUUGGAUCGUUCGGCUCCGAAUUGGAGGUUUGAGCGCAUUCUUGAAUCGAAAUAUAGGUUUUGGAGCGAGGUGAGUCUCCUUUCUAACCUUGUAAGAGGGAAUUGUCCCCAUAGGUGAGUUAAUUGGUUAUGUGCUCCUAUUUGUGGGGGCUACAUAUGCACGAGGAGGCGAGAGUCCGUGUGUAGCUACUAUUAUGUUAUUGUCCAGGUAGUCUAGAACCCAAAAGCAUGUUGUACUUGGAAAUAUUUGUAAUCAUAUUGACGGUUUGAAUUGCUUAAAUCACAUCGGAUUAGUAAGUAUAUUUCUAAAAGAUUGAGCUUCAUUUUCUUGAAUUGUUAAAAGAGAAUUGGAUUUUCCUUGGAUAGUUGUUCCCUGAUGAAGUUUUGAUUAACUGUUUGAAUAUGUAAUUCUAUGUGUACCUGCGUCACAUGAAUGAUUCGCGAGCAGGGUGUUUGUUUAUAUUAUGUUGACCCCAUCGUAUGGAUGAUUCGCGAGCAGGGUAAUAGAUGCAUCUAUGGUUCGGGCCAUUCAACCCUCGGCAGUGCAUAUUUUACAUUUCUAUUGGUUCGGGUUGUACGACCUCGGCAUGAUAUGCGUAUGCUUGUAUUGCUUGUCUAAGAAUUUUAAAUGUUGAUAUUUGCCUUUCCUGGCCACAGAUAAAUUGAUAAAGGUAAUGCAAAGUAAAUCUUUGGAAAACCCUAUUAUUUGAGAAGUUGUUUACCAGCUUUCCGGCUUUAUGAGUUUAAUUUUACUUAUGAAAUCCAUGAAUUUCUCACACUUUUACUAUAUUAUCAUUGGACCACUAGUAAGUGUCGAAGUCAACCUCUCGUCUCUUCUUCUUCGAGAUUAGAUGGGAUACUCAUUGGGUACACGUUGUUUUCGUACUCAUACUACACUUGCUGUGCAUUUUUGUUGCACAAGCAUAUGCAUCUCUAGUGGCCUAGUGGGUGUAGCAGCAUGGUUGAUACGGAGACUUAGGUGAGCUGCACUUCUCGAGACGACCCGCAGCCAGCAGAGUCACUUUCAAAUUAUUGUAUUUACUUUCUAUCCAAUAUUGUAUUCCAGAUUGUUGUUGUAUUACAUUAUUUCCAAGAAAUUGCCCAUGUACUAGUGACACCGGGUUUUGGGAUGAUCACGGGAUUUUUCAGUAGUUAAACUUUGUAAAGACAUCCUCAUUUAUCCAGCGAAGUUAUCAUUUAUUAUUUAUUUGUUUAAAGGAAAGGAUUUCAAAAAUAACUAAAAUGAGAAAUUGCUAGUAAAUUGUAGUUGGCUUGCUGACAGCAGUAUCUGGUGUCAUCACGACCCUUAGUGAAUUUUGGGUCGUGACAGACUCCUUACAUGAAGAGAACACAAUAUAAGAAGAAGAUAGUGUUAGAGUUUGAGAUCACCUUGAACUCUUCUACGAUAGAAGAGUAGCAGUUGAAUCCUAGUCAAUCUCUGAUUACUAACCUAUUAAAUAUCCGUGUUGUUCUCUUUUACAGGUAAUGCACAUAAGCAGAAGUUAAACAUAAAUUGAGAGCAAAAGAGCAAGGCGAUUUUGCAAGCAAUUUAUGUGUGAUUCGAGUGUGCAAUCCUGAAGCUACUUGAACGAGAUAAAAGAACCAGUUCCAUGUGUCUAUCUUUUAUUCCAGU